rnacentral:rRNA from 1 species
UACGUAGGGUGCAAGCGUUAAUCGGAAUUACUGGGCGUAAAGCGUGCGCAGGCGGUAAUGUAAGACAGAUGUGAAAUCCCCGGGCUCAACCUGGGAACUGCAUUUGUGACUGCAUUGCUGGAGUGCGGCAGAGGGGGAUGGAAUCCGCGUGUAGCAGUGAAAUGCGUAGAUAUGCGGAGGAACACCGAUGGCGAAGGCAAUCCCCUGGGCCUGCACUGACGCUCAUGCACGAAAGCGUGGGAGCAAACAGG